GCUGGGCAUGGUGGCGUGUGCCUGUAAUCCCAGCUACUCGGGAGGCUGAGGCAGGAGAAUCGCUUGAACCCAGGAGGUGGAGGUUGCAGUGAGCUGAGAUCACGCUGCUCUACAGCCUGGGUGACAGAGCAAGACUCCGUCUCAG
rnacentral:SRP_RNA from 1 species